GACGAACGCUGGCGGCGUGCCUAAUACAUGCAAGUCGAACGCAGUGGGGACGGGUGAGUAAAACGUGGGUGACCUCCCAUCAGAGGGGAUAACACUUGGAAAAAGGUGCUAACCCCAUACUGAUGGAUGGACCAGGGGGGCAUGAGCCAGUUGGUGGGGUAACGGCUCACCAAGGCCACGAUGCAUAGCCGACCGGAGAGGGUGAUCAGCCACACUGGGACUGAGCCACGGCCCAGACUCCUACGGGAGGCAGCAGUGGGGAAUCUUGCGCAAUGGACGAAAGUCUGACCGAGCAAUGCCGCGUGUGUGAAGAAGGUUUUCGGAUCGUAAAACUCUGUUGUUGGGGAGGCGUUAUCUAAACAGAAAGCCACGGCUAACUACGUGCCAGCAGCCGCGGUAAUUC
rnacentral:rRNA from 1 species